CUUACCUGGCUUGAACUGCUGGUGGUAGAAGCCCGAAGGGUAACGACCCGGAGCAAUCCGGGAGCCAGUAGAGGUGCUGCAUGGCUGUCGUCAGCUCGUGUCGUGAGAUGUUGGGUUAAGUCCCGCAACGAGCGCAACCCUUACCCUUAGUUUGCCAGCGGGUAAUGCCGGGCACUCUAGGGGACCGCCCGGAUAACGGGGAGGAAGGCGGGGAUGACGUCAAGUCAGCAUGGCCCUUAUGUCCAGGGCUACACACGUGCUACAAUGGGCGAUACAGAGGGAAGCAAGGCCGCAAGGUAGAGCUAAUCCCUAAAGUCGUCCUCAGUUCGGAUUGCAGGCUGCAACUCGCCUGCAUGAAGUCGGAAUCGCUAGUAAUCGCGGAUCAGCUACGCCGCGGUGAAUACGUUCUCGGGCCUU
rnacentral:rRNA from 1 species